AGGGUCACGCGUCUACUCGAUUGAAUUUGAUCGGUACAGUUUACGUUCCGAGGACGUAUUACUGUUGGGGAUUAUAUUUCUCUCGCUUACAAUUUCUGUCCUCUUCAUUCCUCUCCCCUCUUGAACGACCUCUUCUCUAUCAGCAAUCCCCUAUACAACCAGCCUGUCCACGACUUUUAACGAGCAACGAUAAGAGUUUAUCUCGUCACUGAACGACGCAUGUCGAAAUCGCUUUGCUCACUGCUCGGUACCAUGGAAAAACUCUCACGGAUUGUUGGAAGAAUACAUGUACAUGAAGAUAAAUUCAUUGAAAAAAAAAAAAAUCGUUAAAAAAUUGACCUGACGUAUUAAAUAUCGCAAGCCGUUCAUCCUCACAUGGUACAGUAAAACUUGUGCUAUUGUUCAUUCAAAUAUUGUGUAAAAAUUGUAAUAUUCUCUUAUUUUUCGUUGUCGAGGGAAUUUUCCCGUGGGAUUUGAACCCGCAACCUUCGGAUUAUAUCUUUUGUUGGAAUAUUUGACGCCUCAAUCAUAAGAAAAAUGCUGAUAAACAACUAGACACUUUUUUCUGCGAAAUCAGUUCCUGAAUCCAAUACUCAUGCAUCAUCAUGUGAAAUGAGACUCUUCAAUGACCUUGAGCUCAUCAAUAUCAAAGAAUGCAUGAUAGAGAAUAAAAUAAUUUCCAAUAAACAAAUUAAAACAAUUCGGGAUAUCUCCAAACAUAUAAAUAAAUGGAAUAAUUACAAAGUAAUCAUUCAAGGUCGACUGAAGGUCAUGAAUUGAACAAUAAUGUCAUAGUUGGAGAUAGCUGUCAGAUUGUUGUCAUGUCCGAUGUUGAAUUGACCUGUCCACGAGUUGGGAGGGCAAUUCCUCUUGCUCACGGGUCCCUUGACAACAGCGUCACGUUCACGACUUCCUACGAGUCUUCGUGUGCUACAGUGAAUACUCAAAUUGUUCGUUGAACAACAAAACUCGAACAUUGAAUAAACUGGCUAUUGUCGGCUGCAAACAUCACUUUGAACAUCACUUUUGCCACCUCGGUAAGCCGAAU